rnacentral:lncRNA from 1 species
GUAAAGAUAGCACUCGAAGUUGGUAAGGUGUAAUUUUUAAUCCUAAAUUGUAUUAAUAAGGAUUUAGAACUUAGGGGACUCUAUAUAUCAAAGAUUGGAAUAAUGUUUUAUAAAUUGUUAGCGUUACAAUUUACUGUAUUAUGUACGACAACCAUAAACUUUAAGAGUAAUCCGUUUGUUUCCUUUCGCGUUGACGUCUACAGUUUUGCCCGAGGGAAUGGUUAAAUAAACAAAUGUAAGUCUGCCGUUUAAAAACUGUAGAACAGAUGCAUGUUUGGUGGUUUGAAGUUUCUAUAAUAACACGUCCUACGACAGUCAGAGGUUUGAAGCUAGAACUAACAUUUAUUUGUAAAAACGUUCCUUAAGUCCAAAAUUAAGGAAAAAUUAAGUAACAAACCAUAACAAAAGACUACUAAUAAGAAAAGGUGGUCUCUUACAACAUUUUCGAAUUAAAAUAAAUAUAUUAUAUGUUUGAAUGGCAUAAGCUACAUGGGAACAACAUCUAAAGACUUUUUUUUGGCUAAAAUUUGGUGCAUUAUAUUUAAAAGUGGCAAGAGUUAUUUUACAAAGAACUCUAGUAAGAGCCAAAACAUUAAUCCCAUGUUAGAAAUCUGAUAGCUAAAUUGUGAUAAACCCCAAACGGGCCCAACCCGUAACUUGAAGAUAGCCUUGAAAGGCUUAAUGAGAUUGUCUUGGAAGGCAACGAAGAGAAGCCCAACCACUAUAAAUCUCUACUAAUAAAAGGGAGCUUUUGAGGCUCCAUAGGGCGUCCACAUCAGCGGAAAAAAUUUAUCCCGAAAGAUGACACGUGGCAUAAAAUAUAGUUUUACAUUUUAAUAUUAAUUAUUUUCGAAAAUUGUAAAAAAUAUGUAAACAUACAGCAUUAAAAAAUGGAAUCUAAAAUAUAGUUUUACACUUUAAUAUUACUAAUUUUCGCAAAUUAUAAAUAAUAUGUAAACAUACAGCAUAAAAAUAGAAAAACUACAUUAAACAUAUGUAAGAUUACCAUUUUUCACUUGAAAAAAAGACGGCUUAUCUCCAUAAUGUAACAUUACCAUUUUAUAAAAAAAAACAAAAAAACAUUAUAUAUAAUUUCGAAAAUAAUAAAUAUAUGUAAACAUACAACAUAAAAAAUGGAAAUACUACAUUAAACAUAUGUAAGAUUACCAUUUUACAUUUUUAAUUUAAAAAAAAAAAAAUAUAUGUAAACAUACAACAUAAAAAAUAGAAAAACUACAUUAAACAUAUGUAAGAUUACCAUGUUUCACUAAAAAAGACGGUUUAUCUCCAUAAUGUAAAAUUACUAUUUUGCAAAAAAAACAUUAUAUAUAAUUUCGAAAAUAAUAAAUAAUAUGUAAACAUACAACAUAAAAAAAAUGGAAAUACUACAUUAAACAUAUGUAAGAUUACCAUUUUAUAUUUAAAAAUAACAAUAAUAUGUAAACAUACAACAUAAAAAAAUGGAAAAACUACAUUAAACAUAUGUAAGAUUUCCAUUUUUCACUAAAAAAAAACGGCUUAUCUCCAUAAUGUAACAUUACCAUUUUAUAAAAAAAGAAAAAAAAACAUAAAUAUAACUAUUUGACUAUUUGUCCAAGUUCUUCUAUUAAACAUUGCCGUUUUACAUUAAAAAUGUAAAAAUACAUUAAGAUUUAAACAUCCAUCUUAAAAUAUAAAAUAUAGAUAUUAACUAAAUAUAAAGUAUAAGAAAGAGAAAUACUCAAUAUAUAUAAAAAUAAAUAAUAAGUAAAUAUUAUAAAUAUUUAAAUAUACGAAUUAAUUAUAUAUACAAUAAUAAGUACAUGUACAAUUUUUAAAAAAUGGAAAGAGUACAUAAAUAUUAAACAUCUAUUUUAAAAUGUAAAAUAUAGAUAUUAAGUAAAUAAAAAGUAUAAGAAAAAGAAAUACACAACUUAAAAACAAUCGAAAAAGUAUAUUAAGAUUUAAACAUCUAUCUUAAAAUAUAAAAUAUAGAUAUUACGCAAAUAAAAAGUAUAAGAAAAGGAAAUACACAAUUUAAAAAAUGGAAAAAGUACAUUAGUAUUUAAACAUCUAUCUUAAAAUGUAAAUCUAUCUUAAAUUAUAAAAUUAUUAGUAAAUAGAAAGUAUAAG